UAACUUUCCACUCUCUUGUACUCUAUCAGCUUCCUAAGUCACAUGCUGCUAGGGCAGAUCCACAGACAUCUGUGAAAGAGACAGAGAGGAGAUGACUGGACUCUCAGAUGGGCUCCUGGGAAACCGCACAAAACCCAGAAGAGAUGGGACAGGACAUGGCGGCUCAUACCUGUAAUCCCAAUAUUUGGAAGCUUGAGGCAGGAGGAUUACUACAAGUUUGGCCACAGCAAAGACUGCAGUGAGAGUCCUGCAUCUACAGAGUGAGACUCCACUCAUAACAAAACCAAAAAGUCUAACAUGCUCCAGAGGGGGCCCGUCACAGCGUGGAAGGCUCGGCAAUGGAGGGAUCAGACCUCUAACCACAAAUGAGAAGCAGA
rnacentral:lncRNA from 1 species